rnacentral:rRNA from 1 species
AUUGAACGCUGGCGGCAGGCUUAACACAUGCAAGUCGAGCGGAGCGAGGGUGCUUGCACCUUAGCUUAGCGGCGGACGGGUGAGUAAUGCUUAGGAAUCUGCCUAUUAGUGGGGGACAACAUUCCGAAAGGAAUGCUAAUACCGCAUACGCCCUACGGGGGAAAGCAGGGGAUCCUCGGACCUUGCGCUGAUAGAUGAGCCUAAGUCGGAUUAGCUAGUUGGUGGGGUAAAGGCCUACCAAGGCGACGAUCUGUAGCGGGUCUGAGAGGAUGAUCCGCCACACUGGGACUGAGACACGGCCCAGACUCCUACGGGAGGCAGCAGUGGGGAAUAUUGGACAAUGGGCGGAAGCCUGAUCCAGCCAUGCCGCGUGUGUGAAGAAGGCCCUUUGGUUGUAAAGCACUUUAAGCGAGGAGGAGGCUCUUAAGGUUAAUACCCUUGAUGAGUGGACGUUACUCGCAGAAUAAGCACCGGCUAACUCUGUGCCAGCCGCCGCCGUAAAAC